rnacentral:rRNA from 1 species
UACGUAGGUGGCAAGCGUUAUCCGGAUUUACUGGGUGUAAAGGGCGUGUAGGCGGGGACGCAAGUCAGAUGUGGAAACCACGGGCUCAACCUGUGGCCUGCAUUUGAAACUGUGUUUCUUGAGUACUGGAGAGGCAGACGGAAUUCCUAGUGUAGCGGUGAAAUGCGUAGAUAUUAGGAGGAACACCAGUGGCGAAGGCGGUCUGCUGGACAGCAACUGACGCUGAGGCGCGAAAGCGUGGGGAGCAAACAGG